GGCUCCAUGAGAGAGAAACGACCGGUGCUUGCGCCCUUUCACGGCGGCAACACGGGUUCGAACCCCGUUGGGGACGCCA
rnacentral:tRNA from 1 species